ACGACCUUACUUGAACAGGAUCUGUUCUAUAGGCUCGUACAACUGUAUCCUUGAUUUCUAAGGAGAUAGGAAACCAAGUCUGGUGGAUGAAUCAUAGCCGUUAGACUAGAGCGUGAUUAACAGCACCCAUGGCUGUUGUGGUCAUGGCGCAGUAGAUGAUCGUUCUCAGCUCCAAUAAAAGUGCCUGAGAUGGUCUAAUGGCUGUCUGACAGACU